rnacentral:rRNA from 1 species
UACGGAGGAUGCAAGCGUUAUCCGGAAUGAUUGGGCGUAAAGCGUCUGCAGGUGGCAGUUCAAGUCUGCUGUCAAAGACCGGGGCUUAACUUCGGAAAGGCAGUGGAAACUGAACAGCUAGAGUAUGGUAGGGGCAGAGGGAAUUCCUGGUGUAGCGGUGAAAUGCGUAGAGAUCAGGAAGAACAUCGGUGGCGAAAGCGCUCUACUGGACCGCAACUGACACUCAGGGACGAAAGCUAGGGGAGCGAAUGGG